rnacentral:lncRNA from 1 species
UAGACACUAAUUCCAAAAUAAAAGAUAACAUAUCUAUGAUUACAAGCCAAAUUCAAGAAAAAUAAUUAAAUGAUACGCUACCUUAGGCAUCUCCAAUAUUGUACACCAUUAUACAAUUGUGUCAUUUCAUAAUCGAGUCGAUACGAUAAAGUUAAAUAUAAACAUGACCUGUUAAAAAAAAAUCAAACCGAAUCGAAUUAACUGAAAUUUUUAAAAUUAAAACCGAAUCAAACCCAAAAAUUGAAAAAAAAAUCGAACAAACCAAAAC